rnacentral:rRNA from 1 species
UAUGAAUAAUUUUUUAAAUGGCCGCGGUAUUUUGACCGUGCGAAGGUAGCAUAAUCAUUAGUCUUUUAAUUGAAGGCUGGUAUGAAUGGCUGGACGAGAAAGUUUCUGUCUCUGUUAUAAUUUUUGAAUUUUAUUUUUAAGUGAAAAAGCUUAAAUAGAUUUGAGGGACGAUAAGACCCUAUGGAUCUUUAUAAUAAGAAAUAGUAAAAAGAUUAGAUGUUACGGCUUACUGUUUCUAGUUAUUAAGUUGGGGCGACUGGAAGAAAGAAAUAUCUCUUCUUAUAUAAAAAAUAUUUUAAGUAGAAUUAAUUUUGACCCUGAAUUUUGGUUUAAAAGACUAAGUUACCCUAGGGAUAACAGCGUAAUCUUUUUGGAGAGUUCAUAUCGAUAAAAAGGUUUGCGACCUCGAUGUUGGAUUAAGAUAUCCUUACGGCGUAGCCGUUGUAAAGGAAAGUCUGUUCGACUUUUAAAUUCUU